rnacentral:lncRNA from 1 species
GCUUCUUCAAUACAUGCUCUGCUGGAUGUACAACUAUCUGCUAGUAAUGCCCUUAACUACUCCAAGGAGCCCCUUGCAAAACAAGUACUAGGAAAGGAGUCGGUCAUCUUGUUUGUAUCGUAUAAAAGGUUGUUCUUCCACAACGAGGAAGAAAUAAAAGAGAGAAGCAAAUUUAACUUCAAAAUUAAUUUUCUUGUAAUAACACUGCCAAAAUGAGUGCUGUCUUGACAAACC